rnacentral:rRNA from 1 species
UACGUAGGGUGCGAGCGUUAAUCGGAAUUACUGGGCGUAAAGCGUGCGCAGGCGGUCUGUUAAGACCGAUGUGAAAUCCCCCGGGCUUAACCUGGGAACUGCAUUGGUGACUGGCAGGCUUUGAGUGUGGCAGAGGGAGGUAGAAUUCCACGUGUAGCAGUGAAAAUGCGUAGAUAUUCGGAGGAACACCAGUGGCGAAGGCGGCUCACUGGCU